rnacentral:rRNA from 1 species
UCUUUCUUUGCUGGCGACCGGCGCACGGGUGAGUAACACGUAUCCAACCUCCCCUUUACUCGGGGAUAGCCUUUCGAAAGAAAGAUUAAUACCCGAUAGUAUAAUGAUUCCGCAUGGUUUCAUUAUUAAAGGAUUCCGGUAAAGGAUGGGGAUGCGUUCCAUUAGGUUGUUGGUGAGGUAACGGCUCACCAAGCCUUCGAUGGAUAGGGGUUCUGAGAGGAAGGUCCCCCACAUUGGAACUGAGACACGGUCCAA